CACUUCUCAGACAGGGCGGCUGCCGGGCGGAGGGGCUCCUCACUUCUCAGAUGGAGCGGUUGCCAGGCAGAGGGUCUCCUCACUUCUCAGACGGGGCGGCCGGGCAGAGACGCUCCUCACAUCCCGGAUGGGGCGGCCGGGCAGAGCUGGCCACUGCCCCAACCCAGGCAUUUCACUGGGCGCAGUGCGGACAGGCUUCCGCUUUGGUCAUGGGGACAAGGUCCGCUAUCGCUGCUCCUCGAAUCUUGUGCUCACGGGGUCUUCGGAGCGGGAGUGCCAGGGCAACGGGGUCUGGAGUGGAACGGAGCCCAUCUGCCGCCAACCCUACUCUUAUGACUUCCCUGAGGACGUGGCCCCUGCCCUGGGCACUUCCUUCUCCCACAUGCUUGGGGCCACCAAUCCCACCCAGAAGACAAAGGAAAGCCUGGGCCGUAAAAUCCAAAUCCAGCGCUCUGGUCAUCUGAACCUCUACCUGCUCCUGGACUGUUCGCAGAGUGUGUCGGAAAAUGACUUUCUCAUCUUCAAGGAGAGCGCCU
rnacentral:misc_RNA from 1 species